rnacentral:misc_RNA from 1 species
GUUGAAUCACAAAGCAACACUGAAAUUGCUUUCAUGAAGGAUUCUGGAAUGCUACUUACCUGUGGGACCCAAUUGGUUAGUGAAGUGUCAAUUGUGGGUGAAUUCGAAACCGAGAAAUGGAGGGGACAUCGGAAUGAGGUGUCAGUUGCUAGUUGGUGAAAUGUAGACUGAUCGCCUGGGUUACUGUUUCGAACCCAACAUCUGCCCCAAGCACGUUUACUCUGGAAAGACAGGGGGAGAAACAUUGUCCUGUGAGAAUGUUGGAACAAGAAUGGCGUUGGUGUUGGAUUUUGGAAUUUUAAUGGACUGUAGCAGCCAUUUUUUUCUGCUUUUGUAUUCAGGUCAAAAGAGUCAGUCAAGCAAAUCCCUCUCUCACUACCCCACAAGAAAGUGAAAUUACACACUAAUUGUCUCCUUUGAUUCUUUUCUUUUCCUACUCAAAUCUCCCUCUCUCUUAUUCCUAAAUCAGUUUGGUGGGCCACUCUAUGUUUCUUUUGUCAGGAUUCUCUUGCUCGACAACAAGGACUAGAAAGAAAGAAUUACAUGGAAGCCCCACAUAUCAAUAAAAAAUAAAGAAAUCAAAGCUUAGAAUCUGCCUCACUCGCUCAUCUACAACAUCUAUAAGGGGAACCAUUCUCCUUAGUUUUGCUUUCUCAAACUGAAACCAAAUAAACCAUCAGUCAUGGCUAGAGCUUCUCAAGACGAUUCCUCCUCCAAGAGGCACUUUCACUGGACUAAAAAGAUUGGAACUGAAAAUGAUGAAGUUCCAACCUUUAAGUCCUCCUCAAACUCCAUUAAGGAAGACAAAAAGGAAAAUGCUAGGAGCCAUGCUGCUUUGCUAACUCCAAAGAAGAAGCUGCCAGCAGUAGCAGUUGCUAGGCUUCGCUCUGUUCUUUCAGCCUUUGGUAAGAAUCGAUCUAAUCUGCCACUGGGGCUUGGACCCCGGGUGGUUGGUACCCUUUUUGGCUACCGCCGUGGGCAUGUUCAUUUUGCAUUUCAAAGGGAUCCCAAUUCGACUCCAGCUUUUCUUAUAGAACUUGCUACACCAAUUAGUGGAUUGGUUCGAGAAAUGGCAUCUGGGUUAGUGAGAAUUGCAUUGGAGUGUGACAAGGAGAAAGAAGAGGAAAAGAAUAAAGCAGUGAGAUUGCUGGAAGAGCCUAUAUGGAGGACUUACUGUAAUGGCAAGAAAUGUGGUUUUGCAACAAGGAGGGAAUGUGGGCCUAAAGAAUGGAAGGUGUUGAAAGCUGUGGAGCCAAUUUCAAUGGGAGCUGGUGUUUUGCCAGGGAUUGCAGGUGACCCUGGAGCUGAUGGUGAACUCAUGUACAUGAGAGCCAAGUUUGAGAGAAUUGUUGGGUCUAGAGAUUCUGAGGCUUUCUACAUGAUGAAUCCUGACAGCAAUGGAGCUCCAGAGCUCAGUAUCUAUUUGCUUAGAGUCUAAACUUUAAGUUACUUGCAUAUUCCUUUCUUUUUUAAUUAUUUAUAGUGAUAUUGGAACAGGAAGCUAGUCAUACAUGUUAAGCUCUUGAAGAACCAUGAAAAUGGAGUCUACCACUGUCCAAGUUUUCUGUUAUGUUUCUUUUUUUUCUUUUCUCCUUUUGAGAAAAUGGGUAAGUGGGCUUUACUUGUAUUUUGUUAGUUGUAGG